CGGAACUCACUAGGCCUAUAAGCCAAGAGACCACUGCUGUGGAGCACAGGGGGGCACAGACAGCCACGUAGCGGCCAUAGGCCAUAGCGGCCAGCAGCAGGAACUCGGUACCCCCCAGGGCCAGUGCGAAGAAGAGCUGAGUCCCACAUCGGGUGAAGGAGAUGGUCUUCUUCUCCAGGAGGAAGUGCACCAGCAUCUGGGGGACCCCACUAGAGGUGUAGCAGAUGUCCACCACUGAGAGGUUGCAGAGGAAGAAGUACAUGGGCAGGUGCAGCCGCGCGUCCAGCCCGAUCAGGAGGAUGACGAGCCCGUUGCCCAGCAGGGUCAGCAGAUAGGCGGCCGCAAACAGGACAAAGAGUCCAGCCUGGGUCUGCCUGUCGCUGGAGAGCCCCAGGAGGACAAACUCGCUUUCCCAGGUCAGGUUGUCCCUCCUCAUGGAGCAGGGGGGCUGGGCUGCUGGGAGAGGAGCAGAGUCAGAGAGGGGCAAGUAGAGGUCAGACUUUAGGAGUCGGGGAUUAAGCCAUAGCCAGGACUUGAGCCGCAGUAGGGACACCUACCCUCCUGUUCCCUUAACCUAGGUGCUUAGGGAGAAUACAGUGAAAGAGCUGGAGGAAGGGGCACCUGGGUUCUCAACUAGACUGUGAGGUUCUCAGGGUUAAAGUCCCUAUUCUGAUCAUCCUUUUGUGGCUAGCAUCCAGCACAGUUACAGUUACAUAGGAAAUCAUUCACUGUAGAAGGAAAGAUAGAGGAAAAAAAAGUGGGGGAGAAAGGGUAGAAGGAAAGACAAAAAAGAAUGUAAAAGAAAAAGAAAAACUAAGGAAGAAAAGUUUGGAAAUCGGAAAAGGAGGAAAGAAAGUGGAAGAUAGGGAGGAGAGCAGGAUGUGGUUUUAAGCCACAGCCUCUGUGUGUGCCAAGGACCUGUGCUGGACACCAGACACCUGUCUGUGAGCGAGAUUGAAGCAGGAAUCCUGCUUUCUUGGUUCUUAUAACUUAAUCAGGGACACCAAGAUUAAAUUAAUAAUUACAAAAAUUAAUUAUAAUUGUGCUAAGUACUUUGAAGAAGAACAAGGUUACUAGUUGGUAAAUUAAAUUUGUGGCUGUAAUUAAAUUACCACUGAUUAUGUCUUCUCAAUAAUGUGCAAUUUACAUAGUAAGUUGCAGACAUUUAUUU